AACGCUUGAGUUUUCUUGUGAGUUUAAGAAAAAAAAAAAGCACCUAACAAUUUCUAGCCAUGUGAACUCUGACGUUUCUCCUUCAGGAUGACAGCUAAAAAGUCACUCACCAUCUGGUUCUACAAGAAUAAAGUCAUUAGCCACAGCAGUCCCUUACCCCAACACGCCCUGACAGGAGUUCAGGGUGGAGAUCAGGAAUGGGGCACUCUCUGCUCUGGGAAAACUGACAGAAUAGGCCUGCAGGUAGUUAGAUAAUUUCCUGAGAAAAUUCUAUGAAUUCAAUUUUUUGCAACUUCUCAUACUUAGAAAAGCACUAAAAGCAUUAAUAGUGACAAAUGCUCCUCAUGACUAGCAGCAACCUUCUACAAAGAUGUGUCCUUGAUUGCACGUAUCCCCUUCACCACAAUCACCUAUAUACUGACGUCCCCAUUAUGUCCUUGGAGCAGUUCGUCAGAGCUGACUGAGAGGCUGUCCUCCAGGCUAUAGUCCAGUGAGUCCUCCCAAAAAACUGAACUCCCAGCUCUUAUGUUGUCGUUUGUUUCCAGUCAACAAGGACCUCACUGAUUUCCCAGGAGACCUCCUCAGGUCAGCCUGUUCUCAUUCUCAAUGAAGACACCUCCAUUUCUCACCUACAGUCCAGGCUGGACAUCCGUUUGUCUACUGAUAGAGUCCAGGGAAGGAUCUCUACUCUAUUGUUCCAACUAUUGGUUAAGAUAUGGGUAUGACCAAGACAGAAGCGCAUAUGCGCUUCUUAGACAGAAGCAGUGAAGGUUUUUAAUGGGCUCCUUAGCAGGGAGAGUCUGGCUUGAACUCCAGAGUCACCCUCAUGGCCUUGUAUAGUUGUCUUUAUUUAAAUUUCUAGCCUCAGCCCAUUAAAACAUCAUAAUACUGAAGAAUUGAAAUAAAAAUAUUUUAAAAAUCAUUUGUUAAUAAAAUGAUAUUUUUAGCAGUAAUAUAGGAAUGGUUUCUGCUUGUUUUAGGACCCUAAUCCUUAGAAAGUUUCCCAAACCUCUAAAUGUCCUUCUGACUUUAGAAGUACCUACUCAGUGCUGUAUGCACCAACUGGAAAGAACAGAAAGAUGAUCCAUCAGUGUCCUCUUUCCAAAGUGCCUAAAUUAAAUAAAUGAAUUUCCACUUA